CACCUCCAUUCCCAUAUUCCCUCCCAUAGCCCAAUUUUUAGCAAAAGAAAAUAUAGAUCGAAAGAAGAAGGAAAGAAAGGAAGGAAGAAGUAAAUGAAACCAAGAAAGGUAAUCAUUUGAUUUUCAAUUAUAGAUGUUAAUUUCAUGGAUUUUAUGUAUAGAUGUUAUGUUUAUACUUGUUUUAGAUGAUUUAAACAAGUAUUAAACAAAUGAAAAUAAGAAAUUUAAAAGAGAUUAAACUUUGCUAGAAUUUCAUCGAAAAAGAUAGAUCUAACGUUGAUUGGUGGUUUGUUUUCAAAUCUAAGACCAUGGUUAGACUCCUAAAAUAUAGUAGAUCUGAUCUAGGCAAGAAAAUUUGAGAAAACUCGCCGGAAAAGUUUUGGAUCGCCGGAGAAGAUGACCGAAAAAUAUUUUCCGGUGAACUUUUUUUAAUAAGACUAUUUCUCUAUGUUAGAGACGGAAUUUGGAAAAAGUUUCUUUUACAAAGUUGUAGAGAAUUAAAUUUCACAUGAAAAAGACAUAAGAUCCAUAAUAUUAUGAUAAAGGGCUAAUUAUUAUGAAUUAUUAAAGAUUCUGUAUAUUGGAAUUUAUAAUUAAAUUAUCAGAAAAAAUAUUUGGGCUGAAAUAUUUUUACAAAAAUCUUAUAAUAUCAAUUUAGAAUUUCUAUAAAUUUUUGAUGAAUUAUUGAAAAGCAUAAGUAAUUAUUGUAUUUUAAAACUAUUUAUAGUUAGUUUGAAAAUAGAAGAAAUUCAUAGAAAAUUCUAUGAAUGGUGAAAAAUUAUGAAAUUUGAUGAAAAAUAUUAUAAUAAUAUAAUAUUAAUAUUGAUGAUGUUUUUAAGUUAUAAAAGUAUGUGGAGUUAGUAUUUCUAUUUUAAAACUAUUAAAUGAUAGUUUUUAUAAAUAGAAAUAAUUGUAGAAAAUUGUCGGAUAAUCCAAAAAAUAUGAUAAUUGGUUGAAAAGUCCAGAAUAAUAUUCUAAAAACUUUAGAAUGUUUAGUAAGCUCAUGAGGUAUUGGGAUGUAAACACACAAAUAACGAAUGAAUUAUGAUAAAAACAAAAAUGUUUUUGUUAAAGUAAAAAUGGUGAUAAUACCAGAAUAGUGGAUUGAUGUUUUAAAAAUAAAUUAUCAUAUAUGAGGUUUUAGAUUUCUCAAGUUUUAUUAUUCACUUCUAAUGUUUUGGAAUAUUAAUAAUGAUUUUAUGCGAUAAAUAAAGGCACCUUGAAUGAAUUAUGAAUUAUUAGUUGGUUUAUAUGUUAUUCGAGGUAAAUAUGUUUUGGUGUUGACCCCGACUUUUAAUAGAAUUUGAAUUGUUUAUAGUAAGGUGUUGAUUUGAUAUAAUGCUAUAGUUAUGGGUGAUAUGUACAAAUUUUGCAAAGUAAAAAAAUUGUCAUAAAAUAUUCGUUUGGUCGGAGAAUAUUCUUUUUGUCUGGGAAUAUUCGUAUGACGGCGCCAAAUUAACCAAUCAUUGUGGGCCCUAUAACAGAAUAACUGUCAGAUAAGGAAAGCGACGGAAAUAACAUUUUUAAAAUUUGAUGGAAAAACUUUUACCGUUAACUAUUGAAAUACCGGUGAUAAAAAUACAGUAAUACGUGUGAUUCCACAGUAGUACACCGUAUUUCUCAGUAGCGCACGGUAUUGUACAGUUAUUCAUAUGAUUAAUUCUUACGUAAGAAGUCACUCAGUAUUAUUCAAUAAUUACCACAGUAGUUAUUGCACAGUAACUCAUAUUAUUUGAUAUGAUAUAAUUAGACCAGUUGGCAGUAUUGUGAGUCUAUAUUAAUAAUUGUGAAUAAUGGUUCAAAGAUUGAAAAGGGUGUGAAUUAAAGAUAAGUAUGAUAUGCAGAUGUUUGUUCAAUUAUUUUAUUUUUACGAAAGUAAGUUUGGUAGGACUUGCCGACACUCUACUUUUCCUAAAUUAGUAUGGACAAUAACUCUAUUAUUGAACAAAUUUUGUUAAAACGUGAUCAAAUAUGUUUAAUUUUCUCCGUGGGACCAUAAAUUUCACUACCAGCAUUAUUAUAUACCUCAUUUGGUUAUUUUGUCAAAAGGGGUUGUCUCAAUAAUUUUCAGUAUAAAUAGGUUGCUCGGUUGAGCAACUAAAGACACAUCAUCACUGAACUAAAAAUAUAAAUUCUUUUACUACAAUAUUUCAAGUAUUUCUGUUGAGUGUAAGGUUACUCCAAAUGUAGAUAAGGAAUGCAAGCAUUGUUUAAGUUGAUCAAUUUCACAGAAAGAAAAAUCAAGUCACAUGCUAAGGUAAAAAUAGGUGGUGAAAGUUCUCUUUGUCUUGGGUGCAACGAAGAACUGUUGAUUAGUGUUAUAGAAAUAAAAUAUUGAUGAUGGACUUUUAAUUUAGAGAAGAUAGUAAACAUUAUGUGCUACUUAACUCUUCUAAUGAAUUGUUGAUUCCCCUGCAAUUAUGGUAAUAAGAGUGUAGCUAGGUCGAACGGGGAUAACAAGGGAUUAGAGUGAUGGUCUGUGACUGUUGAAACUUCUUAAUACAUUAUAAAACAACAUGACAAUAUAUAAUUGCAUUGAGAACUUAAAAUGUGGGUGUCGUAUUUUAUACAUCAUUUAAUAUUUAAUUUUGGUGAACCAAAUAUGUUGAUGUGAACUCGAAUUUAGAAGCGUAAAAAAAAAAUGCACUCCAUUAGAAUGAGGAGGACAUAAAUUUUCUCAUAUUCCUUUGAGGACUUGAAAUAUUUGCUGCUGUAUUUUAUAUGGCAUUGCAAUAAUUUGAGUAUGAACAUUGUUGUAUUAUAUACAUUACAAUAUUUGUAUUAAAAUUCACAGUAUAUGUGUCGUCGUAUUUUCCACGACAGUUCAAUUGUUGUAAUAAGAAAUUUUGCGUCAGUAGUGUUGUUUUUGACGACUCAAAAUGGGUUGUGUGGACCUAUUUUUGGGGCGUCACAAAAUGAGCAUAUAUGGUUGAGCCUAUUUCUGUUCCAUCAUCAUUACUGCUACUAAUUACCUACUGGGUUCACCCCCUUCUCCCAGUCAAGCUACUUGACUCCUACUCAGCCUCUGACAUAGCUUUAUUUGACUUUUACAGAGUAUUAGCCUUCUAAGGUGGCCCCUAGCAGCUACCCUUGACCCAUGCUCAGCCACUCUAGGAGUCAACUAACUUAAUAACUAAUUGUUACUUGACUAACCAACAUACUAACUGAUUUCUAUCUAACUGGUAACUUGUUAAAUUUAAAAAAAUAACCCACCUUUCUUCUCCCCCCCGCAAUGGGGCCGCCAAAAUGACCUAAAGCAAGGCUGGGCAAGAAUUUUGUUUGGGCGUAGUCCCUUUAAUCCAAGGUAUUAAUUGAUAACUAGCUAAUUGGAACCAAACUCAGCCUAUCCCUCCCCUAAUGUGGGCUGCCGAAUUGGAUAAGGAAAAUUGGCUGAAAUGGUUUUAUUCUUUUGGGCUUAAACAAAACCAUUUUGCAUAUUAUUUGGUUUGUUAGAUUGGGCUAGUAAAAUGGUAGACAUAAGUUUUAGGGUCCUUUACAAUAAUAUACAACAUUUAGAAAGUAAUUACACUAUUAGUGCACUCAUAAAAUAUUUACACAAUUAAUACACUUUUUAUAUUUAUUUACAAUAUUAGUGCAAUUAUGAUUUCUUAAUUUAGGGAAUUAGUAUGCAAUUAGGAUUCAAUUCAUAAUAAUAAGAAAACCUAAAAUCAAGGAGAAAUAACUACCAUAAUUAAUAAUUCAAAUUCAAAUAUCUUGGAUCUAACAACAAAUUCAAAUUUAAAUUCAAAAAUAAUAAUUAAAAUUCAAAUAUUCAAAGUUUGGCAACGUCAUCUUCCUCCUCCCCUUCGCCGUCGCUUCAACACCAUGGACGCCGAUCUCCUCAUCCAUUACGGCCACAGCUGCCAUUGUGACGAAGGUUGAUUUAGUCCAGAAAUUAAAAGAAGAAAAAGAUAAAUUUUAGUGCAGUUGGUAUCCAAAUAUUUAUACAAAGGUAACCAUUUUAGUUUUUGUGGGUAACCAAGAGAAAUUGCAGUGCUGUUGGUAACCAAAACUUUCAAAGGUAACAAUUUUAGUUUUUGUUAGUUACAUUUGGAUUAAGGUUUGGCUACCAACUGCACUAUGAAAAAAAAUCUAUAAUAGAUUUUUUAUAAUUAAUUGGUAACCCAAUAAAACUGAAUUGGUUACAUUUGUAUUAAGGUUUGGCUACCAACUGCAUUAUAAAAAAAAUCUACAAUAGAUUUUUUUAAUUAAUUGGUAACCCAAUAAAACUGAAUUGGUUACAUUUGUAUAAAGUGUUAUCUACCAAUUGCACUAUUAAAUAAAAAAAAAUCUAUAAUAGAUUUUUUAAAAAUAAAUUAAAAACCUAAUAACACUGAAUUGGUUACCUUGGUAUGAAUGUUUGGCUACCAACUGUACUAUAAAAAAAUCGCAGCAACUGUACUAUGAAAAAAUCGCAGGUGGAGGAUGGCGUUAAUGGUGGAGGAGGGCGGAGGAGAAGGGCGUUGAUGGUGGAGGAAGGCGGAGGAUGGGGACUGUCUAGGUUAAUGGUGGAUGAUGGCGUUAAUGGUGGAGGAGGGCGGAGGAGUAGGGUGGAGGAGAAGGGCGUUAAUGGUGGAGGAGGGCGGAUGAUGACGUUAACAAGUUAGGACUGUUAAUGAUGGAGGAGGAGAAGACUGACAAAGGCGAAUGAAGCGUGAUUUUUAUUAAGGAAAUAGAAGGUGUGCUAUAUAAUUUACUUAUUAAUUACUUAAUUUAAUAAGUAAAUCAAUAUUAAUCCCCUAAAUUAAGGAAUCCUAAUUGCAUACUAAUUCCUUAAAUUAAAGAAUCUUAAUUGCACUAAUAUUGUAAAUAAAUAUAAAAGUGUAUUAAUUGUGUAAAUAUUUUAUGAGUGAAUUAUUGUUGUAAUUAUUUUCAGGGCCGACCCUGAGUUUUUAAGGGCCUAAAGCGACAACAAAAAAAUGGGCCUUUUGCGAAUUGCUAUUAAGAUAGGUAUAGAAAAAAAACUAAGAACUUUUCUUGAACAAAAGAGCAUUAAUACGAAAGAAUACAAGUCUACCAUUGAGAUUUGGGCCUAUUUCAUUGGGUAUAUUUUUUGUGGGCCUUUAAAUUUAAACUGACGUGGGCUGAGCUCUUUUGUUUGAGUAUAUAUAUACAUAACACAAAUACCUCUUGGGGGCCCUAAAAAUAUGUCAAUUUUAGUGGGCCUAAAGCCCAAGGCACCUUGGGCUUUAGCCUAGGGCCGGUGCUGAUUAUUUUUAAAAAUAUAAUAGAAUAUGUAAUUGUUCCUAAGUUUUAAUGGCCAAUUAUACCUUUGUAUCAUGGCAAGAAAAUCCUCUAACACCAUAACUAAUGUAACAAGCAUACAAGAAAGAUUUAUUAUGGCCCAAUAUUUAUUAUGGACUCCUUACAAUUCAAUGUACAUGAAAUUUAACUCCCAUCUUUACUUAGGCUAGCAAAAGGAAUUAAUACUCACAUCAUUAAAGAUAAUGGUUCCAUGUAAUUUAAAUAAUUCAUGAUAAUACCUUAUUUCUUUAUUUGCUAUUAAAUAACCCUUUUUAAUUAUAUCUUAAUAUAAUUAAUUCUUUGAACACAUAGAUAGCUUCAUAUGAAGAAUCUUUCUCAAUUAAGCAAUGUCUAUUUUCCUUUUCAUUCUUGAUAUUUAAAUAGGGUUAAAUACAUUUUUGCCCAAUCUACUCAACCUCUAUUUACAAAUGCAUCGCUGGACUAAAUUUUUUUACGGUCAACUUAAUGAAUUAUAAUUUUUUUACAAAAAUUGAAAUUUUUGUCUAAAAGUGUUAAAAGUUAACGGAAAGUCUACAUGGCAACGCUUACGUGUAAUAUAAGACCCACCAUGAACUUUUUUUAAUAAUAAUAACAAAAUAACUUUAGUUUAAAUUUUUUUGAUUUUCAAACUUGACUUCUCUCUUUUUUAAAUAAAAAAUAAUUAAAUUAAUAAAAAAAUAUAUAUUAAUUAAUAAUAAAUAUAUUAAUAUAUAAUUUUUAUAAUUGUAUUUAUAUAAAAUUAAUGAAUACAUAUUAUUUUUUUUAAUUUUUCAAUAUUGAAGUUAACUUUAAAGAUACAAAAUUAUCUACUAUAAUUAAUCAUCUUCUCCACUACAAAUCCAAAUCUGAAUUCAUCAUCUUCUUCAUUACAAAUCCAAAUUUAAAUCUAAUUCCUCAUCUUCUUCACCACAAAUCCAAAUAUAAUUCAUCAUAGUAAUCAGAACUAGCCAAAAUACAAAUACAAUUCAUCAUCUUCUUCAUCACAAAUCCAAAUAAAAAAUAAUUCGAAAUAAAAAAUCUGAAACUAUUUCAUCAUAUUCUUCUUCACCACAACCCAGAUCCAAAAUUCAAAAUAAUUCAAAAUUAAAUCAACCCAGAUUUGUAGUCGAAAUUAUUGGUGAAAUCCAAAUCAACUUCAUCAUCUUCUUUACCACAAACCAGAUCCGUCCAUUGAUGAGCGCGAUUGUUUGAACACCAUUGAUGAACGUGAUUGCUUAAACACCAUUGAUGAACACAAUUACUUUGAAGAAUGGAUUUUUAGAAGAAUGAUUUGAAAAACAGAUCAGAGGGAGGCCUUUUUUAAUUAGGUCUAUUUAGAUAUAGAUCUGAAUUUUGAUUUUCACAUACUUCCGAUUUCUCCACCAGCAUCCAGAUAUUAGAUCUUGAUUGUUUUCUCCUCUGUUUUGAAGAAUGUGGCUUUGUUAUGAGAGACUGGAGGGAAGCCCUCUUUUAAGCUUUAUCUUUCUUAUAUAUAUAUUUUUUACUUUUUCCCUGCUCUAGUUUUUGAGGAUUUUUCAUCCUCCACUCAUCAUUUUUUAAUCUCUUCCUUUCUAAUUAAAACUUCUUUUUUUUCCUGCUAGUUUUUGAGGAUCAUUAAUUCUUUGCUUAUGAUUUUUCUUAAUCUCUUUCUUUUCUAAUAUAAUUUUCUUUUCUAUCCAAAAGAAAUAAUAUGAAAGGAAUUUCGACUUGAUGAGCUAGCCACCAUCUUUUCCUCAUUUAACUUGGUUUAAUGGCUGUAUAAUUUGUUGUAAGAUGUACUUGUUAUAGCUUGUGUAGGAUUUUCCUUAUUAUCAACGUGAAAUUUGAGUUUUGAUAUUUGAAUAAAAAUUUAAAAAAAUAUGAAUUCAUUAAUUUUAUAUAAAUAUAUUUAUAAAAAUUAUACUUUAAUAUAUUUUAUUAUUAAUUAAUUCAAUUAAUAUAUUUUAUUUAAUUACUUUACUUAUUUAUUAAUAUAUUUUUAAUUAAUUUAAUUAUUUGUUAAUAUAUUUAAUUUUUAUUUAAUGAUUUCAUAAUAUAAAUAAUAAUUUUAUUAGUUUUCAAAAAUAAAAAUAAUAAUUAAUUUUUAAAAUUUUAGUUAUAUUUUUGAAGUUUGAAUUUAAUUUUAUAAAUUUUAAUUUUUAAUUUGUGAUUAUUAUAAAAUAAUUAUGAAUAAUGUUAAAGACAUUACUCAAAUUCAAAAUUUAUCCAAAAUUUUCUUAUUUUAAUAAUAUAUGUAAUAUAUCUUAAUACAAUAACAUGUCAGACAUUUAUAUGUUAUAUUACUAAUUUUAGUUUUAUCUGAAGAGAGGUUAAUUAAAUUAAUGAAUUUAAUGGGUUAUUUAAAUUUAAAGAAAAUUAUAUAAUUAUGUGUAAUUUAUAUAGUUUACUUAAAAUUGUACAAAUAUUAAUGAUUAAAAUAAAAUUUUAAAAAUUAUUUUUAUUGUCUUUUAAGUUUGAAUGCAUUAUUUUAUUUUAUUUAUUUGAUUUUGAUUAAUUUAGUAUUAAAUUUAUACAAGUUUCCAUCUAGGCAUGCCACAAAGAAAAAUGUCUGACAUGUAGGAUUUAUCUCUCUCACUUGGCAAUUCGUGUAAUUUUUCAGUCCAAAGUCAAACAAGUUAACAGAAUUUGUAACAGUUUGUAAAAUAAAUUGUAGUUCAGUGAGUCGAAUGAAAAAAAAUUCAGUUCAAUGAUUCAUUUGUAAAUCGAAAUCGAGUAGAGUGAGAAAAAAUAUAUUUAACCCUAUUUAAAUACUUUAUAAUAAUGCAUAUCAUUCUUCCCUUCCCUUACCAUUUAUAAUCUAUGAUACUUAACAAUUAUUAAGUAGUAAAUAUUUAUAAAAUCAAAUCAAAUGUAUAAUUAAAAGAAUUUCUUUAUAGUCAAAAUUUGACAUUAUAAUAACUAAAAAUUACAUAUAAUUUUCUGAGUCAUUACAUCUAGCAUCACUUUAUUAACAAUAAAUUCUUUAAGAGUUAAAUGCACUUGGCAUCUCUCAGUUUACCCUUACUUUAUACCUUUCAUUUCGCACUUUAUAAAUGAACAUUUUACAUCUCACACUUUUAGCGCAUCGAUACAUGACACCCUCUAGGUAAAAAGUUAUUAGCUGGCCCAACGGAGUUAGACUAUUUUAACUCACGUGUUGUUCUCUUAGGGGCAAAGAUUUUAUUAGUGAGAUUAUUUUGCCCUUGAAAAAAUCGCUUGUGGAUUAAAAUAGCCUAACUCUGUCAAUCCAUUUAAUAAUUUUUUGUCCGAAUGAUGUUAUGGGUCAGUGCGCUGAAAUUGCGGGAUGCAAAAUUUGUAUUUAUAAAAUGUGAGAUGCAAGUGCAAAAUAACGGUAAACUAGGAGAUGCAAAGUGCAUUUAACUAAUUAAUAUUUUUUAAGACUAUAUUUAGGAAUGUAAAAUUAUCCCUUAAAAUUAUCACGUUACAAAUGAAUGUGUCUUUAAUUAUAAAAAAAAUUAUUUGUGCAUUUUCUUAACUGAAAAUAUAAACAAACCUCCCUUUUGCUUUCAGCCCAUCCAGUGUAACAACCUGACUCAAAUUAAAGUAUAAUAAGAUAUAUUGUACCUUCUUAAGUCAUUCUAGUCCUCCACUAGCUCACUCAAAUUGUUAUGACUGAAUGUAUUAAUGAUAGUAGUUUGAGUCCUUAUAAAUACAUCACAGUACAAGUUACGAUGUGGUACUGGAAUGUUACAGACUCUCUCAUUUAAAUAUGUCCCCAUUAGGCUGAACAAAUAACCAUACACAUACUAGAAACUUUUUCUCUCUAGCCAUUGUAGGAAAAUACCAACGGCUUACUAGGUCCGCCUUCAUGUCCUUACCUCUGACAACCCGAUUAGAUGACCCGACCUGACCCGAACUUUUGAGAGUCAGCUCAAUUGAAUAGAUGUAUCUAGGGAGAAAUCGAUCAUUUUGGUUGAAGCGACUAUUCUCUAGAUACAAAUAUUUUUUAUAUAUAAAAAGUUGCAUCCAUAAAAUAAAAGAUCUCGCUAAGAUUUCUUUAGAAAAAUCGACUUCAAUUACUCUAGUUAAUCUAGCUAGAAUUUAGGUCAAAUCCUGAAUCCGAAUCGAAUCAUAUCAUAAUAAAACUGAAUACAAUUUUUCAAUAGUGCGUUCUUGGAUCAUAUUAGUCUAUCACAAACUCACCCAAAAAGUUAUGAUUGAUUUUAUUAGUGAUAGUAGUUUGAGUCUUUAUAUACAGAUUUAUACUAACCCACAUGUUAAGAUGUGAAAUUGGGGUGUUACACCCAGCUUGUUAUGUGACGAACGAGACAUUUGUAAUUAAAUUUUAAAUAUUUAUUGAAUUAAAUAAAUAUUUUUUUGAUUUAUUUAUUGAGUUAAAUAAUUAUUUGAUGGAGUUGUGGUAGAUUAAUUUAAUUAAGUGUGUCACAUUAAUUAAAUUAAUGUGGAAUAAUUUUAUAGAUCAAAGUGAGAAUUUAAUUGAGAUAAUUAAAUUAAAUGAGUUGUUAAAUAAUUUUAAUGUUGUUUUAAUUAAUCAAAUAAUUAAUUAGAGAUUUAUUGAUUUGUUAUAAAUAAUAAAUGAGAAUUUUAAUUAUGUGAUGAUGUGAUUUAAUAAGUAAUAUUGCCUUUUAUUUAAUUAAAUUUAAAUAACAUUAUUUGAUUAAUUAAAGUGUGACAAAUAAAUUAUAUAUAAUAAAUGAAUUAAUUUAAAUAAUGGGAAAUGCGCUAUUAUGAACAAGCCAAACAUGGCCUAAGGUACAUAGGAGUAGUUAAGGCCCCGUUGCGGUUAACUUUUGCCCAUGAUUUCACCUGUUAUAUUUUACGUAUAAUAUAACCUUCAUAUUACUUACUCUGGAGAACAAACUCAGAGAGUGAAAAGAAAGAGAAUUGAGAGUCCGUGAGAUUGAAGAAGAAGAGGUUGGAGAAUUAAAGAGUUCCUAUCAUCUUGCCUAAUCAUAACAGAGAAAUCAAGGGUAAUCCCUUAAUCUCAAGGUUUUAAAUUACGUUCUUAAAAGUCCUUCAUGAAAUCAAUUUUAACUUCCUGUGUUUGAAUUUUUAUGAAUGAUUGUUCAAUAUAUGAUGUUAUAUAUGUUUAUAACAUGUUUUACAUGACUUGUAUGUGAUUUAGAAUAAUCAAAUCCAUGAAUCAUGCUUAAAAUCUGAGUUUUGAGUUUAUAGUGAAAAUAUUAUUUUAGUUCUCUGUAAUUGAAUUUUUAUGGUCAAAUUGUUGAGAAGCUGUUUUUAAUUGUUAAAAUACAUGUAUAAUAUGAUAUUUGAUGUUUAUAAAUGAUUUUAGAGUAAUUAAUCCAUGAAAUUAAGAUUAAGUUGAAAUAUUGAAGGUUACAGAAAAAUAAUGUUUGAACGUGGCCCAUAAGUACAAAAAUCGGUGCCUUAAUUGUACGUUAAAUGAUAAAUUGAUAAUUGAUUAUGUAAAUAUGUAAAAACGAAAAGAACAAUACUUGUAUGGAUUGAUUUGGUUGGGAAAAAAAAUUCGUAGUGGUCGAUUUCGUUAAGAAUGUCAAAAAUGGAGUUUUUCACAAAAAUAUUGAAAUUAUGGAUUUAAAUUUUGUUAUUUAUGUGACUUAAGAUGUUAAAAGUAUGCUAGGAAUAUCAUUAAAUAUUUCUGUUAAGUUCAGAACAUAUGGGUGAAACUGAAUUCGUUGUUUGUGUGAAAUUUUGGCCUAAAUUGGCCCUGUUCUGUGUUCUUCGCAAACUGCAGAAACUGAAUUUGGAUAACCCCGCCCCGACGGGCAUUACCAAGCUAAAUUACCCCGUCCCGGAGGACAAAAUAAAAUAAAAUAUUUAUCCAAUAAAAUAAAUAUUUUAGUUGAAAUAUUUAUGGAAUAAAUUAUUCGAUGAAAAUUAUUAUGGAAUAAUUUAUUCGAGUGUAAUAAUAGUGAGGGAAUGAAAAUAUUCUAAUUUAAUUAAGUAAUUAAAUUAGAAGUGUAAUGAUUUGUUAAAUAAAGUGGAGUUUAUAUUAAAUAAUUAAGUGAAAGUGUGACUAAUGGACCAUAUAAUAAGAGAAUUAUAAAAAUAAAUUAGAAAAUGUCUUGUGACCUUAUAACUACUAUGUUUUGUAACUGGUUAAACCACGUUUAAAAAAAGUGAUGUCCAUGAGAUGAUAUGAUGUUGUUUAAACUUAAGAUUUGAGAUUUUAGUCCUGUAUAUGUGAAUGAUGGUAAUGGGCAGAAUUUAAACUAAGUUAACAAAUUGUAUUAAAAGAGGGAACUAAACAUAUAAGGUUAGUAUUAAUGUAACUAAUGAAUGUCAUGAAUACAUAUGGUAUGUGUGUAGGACUUGUGGUGAUCGUGAGUAGUAAUCGUUUAACCUACGCACGAGAAAAGUUUCCAAACCCUAUUCUUACAUUGAGCAAGUUCUUAAAUCUUAUUAUUAUUGAGCAAGCUUCGUAUUCUUAUUUCGAACUGUUCAAAGCUUAAUUAUUCAAGUUUAUGAUUCCAAAUGAAAUGUUCUAAUUCUUUUGAAGUAUUACUUAUAUUGUACAAAGUCCAUUCAAUUGUGUAGAAUUGAGAUCCAAUCAGUCAAUUAGAUAGAGUUGAGAUUCAAUCUUUGAUUUGAUUAUUGAUUUCGAUAUUACAUUAAAACCAUGAAUAGAUAGUGAUUCCUUAUUGAUUCAACUAAUCCUUAGUUGAUGAUUAUUAAACUCUAAAUUACCCUUGAAGCUAAUCCAAAAUAAACUUCCUUUGGUGCGUACUCUAAUGCCAAAGCUGAGAUGAGCAACCAUGUUAUGGGGGAUUAUAUUAUUCGAUAGCGUUAAGAUGUUGUGCACAUACAUGGUACUAAGGGUUUAUCCCCCUAAGUAAGUAAGGUCCAUAUAGUCUUACGACUGUUAAAUGUUUUAAAGUAGAAAUACUUAAUAACCUAGGACAUAGUUCAUGGUCUUGUGACCCUCAGAUGUACUUUUGAUUCUUGUUCUAAUCUUGAUUCAAAAGCCGAGCUUUCUUUUGUUCAGUAUCCAUUGAUUAUUCGCAUGUUAUUAUUAUUACUAUUGUUAAACUUGUGGACAAUUGUUGUUCACUCUUGCAUAAUAACAUUGCAGCUAAGAUUUAGAAAGUUGAUGAGCCAUCCACAAGUAAGGACAAGGGUAAAACAAACAAAUGAUGAAGACUUAUUUAGUAUUUGAGAAUGAUUAUGUUAAGACUUAUUAUGUGAUGUUUAAGACUUAUUUGUUUAUGAUGCUCCACAUUUGAUGUAUUAAGAUUAGAUAAACUGUGAUUUAUUUGUGUAAGUUGUUGUAAUCCUUUAAUGGGAGGAUUUUUAUUUAAAUUUUAUUGUUAUCUUUAUUAUGGGUAGAUAGAUG
rnacentral:lncRNA from 1 species